GAUGAACGCUGGCGGCGUGCCUAAUACAUGCAAGUCGAGCGAACAGACGAGGAGCUUGCUCCUCUGACGUUAGCGGCGGACGGGUGAGUAACACGUGGAUAACCUACCUAUAAGACUGGGAUAACUUCGGGAAACCGGAGCUAAUACCGGAUAAUAUAUUGAACCGCAUGGUUCAAUAGUGAAAGACGGUUUUGCUGUCACUUAUAGAUGGAUCCGCGCCGCAUUAGCUAGUUGGUAAGGUAACGGCUUACCAAGGCAACGAUGCGUAGCCGACCUGAGAGGGUGAUCGGCCACACUGGAACUGAGACACGGUCCAGACUCCUACGGGAGGCAGCAGUGGGGAAUCUUCCGCAAUGGGCGAAAGCUUGACGGAGCAACGCCGCGUGAGUGAUGAAGGUCUUCGGAUCGUAAAACUCUGUUAAUAGGGAAGAACAAAUGUGUAAGUAACUAUGCACGUCUUGACGGUACCUAAUCAGAAAGCCACGGCGAACUACGU
rnacentral:rRNA from 1 species